rnacentral:rRNA from 1 species
AUUGAACGCUGGCGGCAGGCCUAACACAUGCAAGUCGAGCGGAUGAAGGGAGCUUGCUCCUGGAUUCAGCGGCGGACGGGUGAGUAAUGCCUAGGAAUCUGCCUGGUAGUGGGGGAUAACGUCCGGAAACGGGCGCUAAUACCGCAUACGUCCUGAGGGAGAAAGUGGGGGAUCUUCGGACCUCACGCUAUCAGAUGAGCCUAGGUCGGAUUAGCUAGUUGGUGGGGUAAAGGCCUACCAAGGCGACGAUCCGUAACUGGUCUGAGAGGAUGAUCAGUCACACUGGAACUGAGACACGGUCCAGACUCCUACGGGAGGCAGCAGUGGGGAAUAUUGGACAAUGGGCGAAAGCCUGAUCCAGCCAUGCCACGUGUGUGAAGAAGGUCUUCGGAUUGUAAAGCACUUUAAGUUGGGAGGAAGGGCAGUAAGUUAAUACCUUGCUGCUUUGACGUUACCAACAGAAUAAGCACCGGCUAACUUCGUG